CUUUGGGUUCUCUCUUAUCUUCUUCUUCUUAAUUGUCUCUUUAUCCCAAUCUGACGAUUUUUAAUCACUCGUAUUAUCAAUUAAUUCAAAAGAUGAUUAGUUGAUAAGUAGUAGAAGAAGAAGAAGAAGAAGAAGAUGAGAGAAAGAGACUCAAUAGAAAGAGAUUGUUCUGGUUUCCAUGCCAACAGGAAUAUGGGUUGAAGAUGAAGUUGGAAAGGGAAAGUUCAUCUUCCGGUUUUGUUUUCUUUUUUUUCAGUUAAAUGGAUUAAUAAUUUUCGCCAUUAAUUAAGCUUUUUUUCUCUUUCUCUUUCUUUUUUUUUUCUUUCUUUUUGAUAGCAACAAUUAACCUUCAAUGAAGAAACAUUGGUUUCUCUGGUUUUCCUCCAAUUACGGUGUAUUUUCAAUUGAUUGUUGGUUGAUUACUGUUUGAUUACAAUUGAUUUUCACCUUUUGUUAUUAUUUUCUCUCUCUCUCGUUGAUUACUGGUGUGUAUGUACAUUUACACUGAUACGAACACAGGUUUUAUUAUUUUUGUCUUUGUUAAUAUACUAACGUUACCAUUGGAACCCAAUAUUUCUCAUCAUUAUCAUCAUCAUCAUCAUCAUCAUCAUUCUCAUCAAUAAAUAAGUUUUAAAGGAAAGUAAAGUUUGCCUGAUGGAUCUGAUGAUGAUGUCAAGAAGAAGAAAAAAAAAAGAGUCAAAGUAAAGGUAGGUAGGUGGUAUAAAGGUACAUAAGGUAUAAUGGUAAGUUUUUUGGAGGAAGAAGAUGACGAAGAAAAAAAAGAAAAGGAAAAAGAAGAUGAAGAUAAAGAUGAUGAUGUUGAUGAUGAUGAGGAUGAUGAUGAUAAGGAUGAAGGAGCAGGAGGAUGAAAAUGAGGUUGAGGAGGAGUGAAAGAAGAAGGAAAACGAAGGAGGACAUUUUUUACAUGUUACAAAUGGAGAAUGUUGUUUCUUUCUCUCUCUCUCUCUCUUCCACCCUCAGUUCUAUCUCUAUCUCACUAUCUCACUAUCUCUAUCUCUAUCUUCCUCUUUUUCCUUUUCUCUUUCUAUCAUUUCCAUUCUCUUUCACUCUCUCUUUCAUUUUCUCUUUCUUUCUCUCUCAUUUUUUAUCUCUAUCUUUCUUCUUUUUCCUCUCUCUCUCUCUCUCUUCCUUGGCGAUUCUAUGGAUUUUACAAUGAUGGUUGGUGACCUGAUACCACUGGGAAGUAAUUAUCAUUUGCUUUGUUGCUGCUGCGUGUUAAUUGGUCACAAAACUGAUUAAUUUACUCCAACUACAAGAGUUAAUCAAAGAGGAAAAAAGAUGAUCUUUUGAUGGUUGUUUACGUUUAUGAUAUGUCUUGAAAAGAAAGAAUGAAAGAGAGAGAGAGAGAGAGAGAAAGUAAGAAGAUCUUUAUUACUCUUUGGUGUUGCUUAAGGCAUAAAGAAAAUAGAGAGAAAGUGGAAAAUCUCUUCUUCAUCAUCAGAAUCAGAAUCAUCAUCUCAAACUCGUUUUCGUAAUUACAAUUAACCCCAAAAAAAAGAUCGCAGAUGAGUUGAUCAAAAUUCAACCUCGAAUUGAAAAAAUUUACCUGAUUGUAGUUAAUCAUCAAGAUUACUCUUCAGUCUUAUUGAUUGAACUUUAUUGAUUUUGUCAAUAUUUAACUGCUUCCAAGUUUUCCUUUGAAUAUAAUGUAUUCAUCUAAAUUGUUACAUCUCUUCCUCUCUUCAUCUUUUGAUUAUCAUCAAAUUUUCAAUGCACUUUUAACUGUUAAUUGUUUUUCGGUUAACCCUCUCUUUGGAAAAUAGCAAUAACCAAUUUGGCACCCAAAUGAUUAACUUACAAGUUUAAUUAUCCUCUCAUCAAGACAAUUAGCAUCGUAUUACAAUGAGAUUCCCAUUCACACACUCACAAUGCGACUGAUUAACGAUUUAAUUAGCUCAACUCAUCAUUUCGCUAUCAAUUGGAUCACUCAAAUUGUCACCAUCUUUCUAAUUGUUUUCCGUUACUCGCGAAACAAUUAACUAACAAGCAAUCGCGAUGAUGAUCAUACAAUUGACAAUUUGUUUUCUUUUUUCCAUCUUCAGGUUUUGUCAAUAUUUUUCUCAUAAAUUUCCAUGUUUUUCAUUCUGUUGUUAGGUGAUGAUCAUCAAUCGAGUUAAUAGUUGGUUCCAAAUAAUCUGAAUUAAUAAACUUCAUGGUGUAUAAUAAGUGAAUUGAUUUUCUUUCUGAGAACCAACAACAAAAAUCAAAGAGAAUGAACAAAAAUGAGGAAAUUUUUUCUUUCGAAAACAAAAAAUUGACCAACGAAAAUGAACAUUCAGGAAUAUCAAUCAAAUUAUGUAAAAACGAACUGAGAGAGAGAGAGAGAGAGAGACUUACGAAACUAACGGCGAUUUAUUCUGAAUAAGUUCUGAUUGUUUUUUUCUAAUUCGAUUCGAAGAUAUUUUUUCAUUUUCUUCUAUUGAAAUUCAGUUGUAAUCAUGAAUUUUUUUAAUUCUUUUACAAUUUAUAUUUCGAAUCUAUUAGCUGAUGGAAAAAAGCAUUAAGCUCAUAACGGUUUAUAUUAGAGAUAUAAAUUCAAUUAGAGAUAUUGAACAGAUUAAUUAACUAAAUUGUUUGUACUCGUGAAUGUCAGGGUCAGUUUAGAGAAUGGGAUAAACUUGGAAAUGAAUUGUUUAGUAAUUAACUGAUUCUCUUUUGGACCUUUUCGUUAAUCUAUGUGAUAAAUUUGGUCUUAAUUGUUGUCUCUCUCUCUCUCUCUUUUUCUCAUCACAAUUUUAACAUUGAUUGUGAUUCGAAAAAUGUUUCAACUAUUAACUGUAUUUAAGAUGAUGGUGAUUCAAUUGUGUAAACAAUUAACAUCAACUAAAUGGUCAGUCGAUUACAAAAUCCUCUUCUCAUCAUUGGGCAUCUCAAGUUACUUUUCAACAGACAAUGAGGACUACAAUUUAACUGAAACCAUCAAUUGUACACAAUCAAGAAAAGAUCAUCAAGAGAAAAAGAGAGAGAGAGAGAAAAAAAAGAUUUUUAAUAAUCAACAGAACAAUUUACUGAUCACGAAACAUUAAUUUCGUUUUUUUUUCUCUCUUUUCUUCAUCAACUUCGAAAAGUGAAAUUCUUUUUUUUUAUCAAAAAGAAAAUUAAGAAAUAUAAUUUCACUUUCUGUUCGCAAAUUUUUUUCUCUCUUCUAACUACAUUUUCUCAACGAAUCAACUCAACAAUUAACAUUCAAUCAUUUUCCAUCAUUGGGUUGAUUCAUUGAGAGAAAAAUUUACAGUUAACAGAGUUUCAAAUUUGGCGCGUUCGAAAAUUUCGCUUACCCGUUUCCAUGGAAACGAUUGACCUUAAAGCUUAUUUGAAGUUUCUGAUUGUUUUGAUUAAAUUUGAUUCUCAAGUCAAUUGAAUUUAAUCAAAGUGAACACAAUUAAUGUUAAUGUUUAAUUGUUGCUGUUGGUGAUUAGAUUAUCUUGUUAAUUUGAUGUAGUGACUUGUAGCGUCAUCUGUCAUUAACCAUAACAAUAUUUUUUUCCAUUUGUUUUGAUUGUUUAAGUUUAUUUGUUUUCUUAAUUGUUGACCAGUAAUUUUAUUUACUUUUGAGUACAAACAGUUUGAUUUAAUUAAUUUAAAAUGUUUAUUUUCAUUGUAAUUUCUAUUCAUCAAAUCUUCUUUGUCUUUUUCUUUCUCUCUCAAGUUCACGUUUGAUUGCUGUUAAUCACUUAGACUUGUUGUGUUCAUUUCAAGCGUUAGUUUAUCAACUAUGGAAAUUUUUUUAUGUUAAUACAACAUUAAUUGUGAUAAUCUACUGAUUGUUUGGUGUUCAUCUAUCUAAUAUAAUCUCGGAGAUAUUGUCGGAUUUGUGUCUUCUUUAAUCUGUUGCCGAACCCUCAUUGAAAUAUUGUGAAAUCAAGGAGACGAUCGAAAUCAAUUUACUCUUUAACUUUUUUGUUAAUCAUCUUUCCAAUUGAUCAUGUUUCAAUCUUAAUUAGAAAGUAAUCAAUUAACUCAACUUUAAACUUGUUUUCUCUUCCAAAUCAAAUAGGAAAUAAUUGUUUUUGGCAAACAAA